rnacentral:rRNA from 1 species
UACGAAGGGAGCUAGCGUUGUUCGGAAUUACUGGGCGUAAAGCGCGCGUAGGUGGCUUUGCAAGUCAGAGGUGAAAUCCCGGGGCUUAACCUCGGAAUUGCCUUUGAAACUGCAAAGCUUGAGUACUGGAGGGGAUGGUGGAAUUUCUAAUGUAGCGGUGAAAUGCGUAGAUAUUAGAAGGAACACCGGUGGCGAAGGCGACCAUCUGGACAGUUACUGACACUGAGGCGCGAAAGCGUGGGGAUCAAACAGG